rnacentral:tmRNA from 1 species
GUUUCGACUGGGGGGAACUCCGUCUUAGGUCGCGUGUCGAGGGCUCGGCUACCUCGUAAAUCCAUCGGAAAAAACACAAACGCGAACGAUAACGCGUACGCUCUCGCCGCUUAAUAACCGGUAGAUUGCCGUCUCCCUCGGGCAGUUCUCGCGACCCGUACGGAGGCGUUAAAAAAGACGAGAUAGCGACCCAGAUGACCAUCGCUGGCGAGCGAAAUUAAAGGUGGGAUAGCCCUAAGGUGAGCCUGUCGGUAGGCGCGCCGCGUGGGCGAAGUAAACUACCGACUACACACGUAGUGGCCGCUGCGUAGCACUUUCGGAC